UAAGGAAUAUUGGUCAAUGGACGCAAGUCUGAACCAGCCAUGCCGCGUGAAGGAUGAAGGUCCUCUGGAUUGUAAACUUCUUUUAUCUGGGACGAAAACGGGAUUUUUAUCUCAAUUGACGGUACCGGAAGAAUAAGCACCGGCUAACUUCGUGCCAGCAGCCGCGGUAAUACGAAGGGUGCAAGCGUUACUCGGAAUUACUGGGCGUAAAGCGUGCGUAGGUGGUUGUUUAAGUCUGAUGUGAAAGCCCUGGGCUCAACCUGGGAAUGGCAUUGGAAACUGGGCAGCUAGAGUGCGGUAGAGGGUAGUGGAAUUCCCGGUGUAGCAGUGAAAUGCGUAGGGAUCGGGAGGAACAUCUGUGGCGAAGGCGACUGCCUGGACCAGCACUGACACUGAGGCACGAAAGCGUGGGGAGCAAACA
rnacentral:rRNA from 1 species